rnacentral:siRNA from 1 species
GGAUUUGAACAUGCAGGAGCUGUU